ensembl:lncRNA
CAAGUUCCCAUCCCGAAGAAUGUCUGUAAAUCGGAUUCAUUCAUAAGUCCAAUAAUACAUCCUGAGCUCUGAUUAAGCACUGUAUUUCUUACACAAUUGCACUGCACCGUAAGCACACAGCAGCACAACUGUGACAAUGUCUGGCAGACACAUGAGCUACUCCUUGAUUUAUUCCCAUCUGCAGAUGUUCCUAAUUCAAGGUGAUGAAUAUGCCAACUACCUUGAAUUGAUCAACAUACAAUACAAACAUGUAUUGAAACAUCAAACUGUACUCCAGAAAUAUAUACAACUUUAAAGUGCCA